rnacentral:lncRNA from 1 species
GAAUGCACAUUGCUCCACUAACUUAAAUGAAUCACACACAAAAGAAUUCCUUCUCAAGUAAUUCCAUUUGUAAUGUGUGACUUGCUUUAUCAAGUUUAUUCAUUUAAAUUAUAUGGUGUCAUACAUCAUACUUUAAGUUUUAGUCAUACUAAGACCUUUAAAUGUAGUCAUAUAAGAAUUAUCCAAGUCUUUAGUGGAAGCAUUGCUCCUACUAAGGAUAUAGAAAACUCAACCAUUCCUUCUAGGUGGUUGAUAUAAUUCUUUAUUAAAACUACAUAGAGCAAUAUUGUUACAUGAGAUGUUGAAUUUGGUUUGUCUUGUUGUUAAACCAUAUUGUUGUGACUCAUUUUGAAACUUAUUCCCCUUUUUUUGUUUCAUCAACUUGUCCAUAUGCUUGGUUAUUUAGCUUGUUCUCAUAAAAGAGAAUUAUGGACAACUCCCAACAUAUAACCAUUUUAUGCUAGAUUGACGAAACCAACAUUCAAAGACUAUUCUUUAGAAUGUCACACAACAUAGAAUUUUAACUUUUGAAGAGCUUGAGUCUUUUAACAAUUAAAAUUGCAAACUCUUAAUAAUAGUCAAAUACUAUUAUUCUUUAGACAACUAUAAACCAAUCAUAUUUAAGUUUAUAUCCAUUUUCACACCUCCCACUAUUUCUCAUGACUUUAAUGAGAAAUCAUUUCAUACAUUCAAA